GACAAUAAGGGAGUAGGGUGGAUGCCUAGGCACCAGAUGCCGAUGAAGGACGCAGCAGGCGGCGAUACGCCUCGGGGAGCAGCCAAGCAUGCUUUGAUCCGGGGAUUUCCGAAUGAGGAAACUCGAUAUUGUGAAGCGAUAUCACCCACUCCACCUCGCGUGGAGCGGGAGGGCACCCGGCGAAGUGAACCAUCUCAGUAGCCGGAGGAAAAGAAAACAAGGUGCAUACUUCGUCACCGCGUAAUGUUGAAUGGAGAAUGUGGGCGGGGGCUUGCCCCUGCGCGCAUUCAACAUUUGGCAUUGCGCGAACGGAGUAUGUGCUCAUUCCCCUAGUAGUGGCGAGCGAACGGGGAACAGCCGAAACCAUAUUGGAGGAGAAGCGCGAAGUUCGUUCGUGCCGCAAGGUACGCAGCGACGAGUAGUGCAUCUCAGCCGGGACGGGCAUAUCCAGUAUGGAGUCAAACGCAUGGUCGGUUGCGCUCGUCCAGUAGCGCAGAUUGGAGAGUAACCCGUGAGGGUGAUGACAUCCCUAGUCGAAUCCCCCUGGAAAGGGGAGCCAGAGCAGGUGACAGCCCUGUAGGCGAAAGGGGUCAGACUCCAAUGCGAUCAUUGCGGAAGUACGACGGGACACGUGAAAUCCCGUCGGAAAUCGGGGCGACUACGCUCCAAGGCUAAAUACAUCUGGCGACCGAUAGUGAACAAGUACCGUGAGGGAAAGGUGAAAAGCAGCCCGGUGAGGGCGGCGAAAAGCUCCUGAAACCCUACUCUUACAAGAAGUCGGAGCUCGGUCCCGGCGCAAGCCGGGAUGAGUGACGGCGUGCCUAUUGAAGAAUGAGCCAGUGAGUUUAUUGCUGUUGCCUGUCGAAGGCCUACGGGCCCAAGGCACAGGGAAACCGAGUCUGAUAAGGGCAUAUCGUUCAGGUGUUUGACGUUCAAUGGGAGUGCCGAGCAAUCGGCAUUCCUGGAGAUCGUCAUUCACCUGAUCGAACGCAGCAGCAACAAGACCCGAAACCGGGUGAGCUAGCCAUGGGCAGGGUGAAGUUCGCGUAACAGCGAACGGAGGCCCGAACCCGUGAGUCGUGCAACGCUUUGGGAUGACCUGUGGCUAGAGGAGAAAUUCCAAUCGAACUCGGUGAUAGCUGGUUCUCCCCGAAAUAGCUUGUGGGCUAGCGCGUUGAUGACCCCUGGGGGUAGAGCACUGAAUGGGGACCGGUGGAGCGAUCCUACGUUCCCCAACCAAACUCCGAAUACCAGGCAAGUUAUAUCAGCGUAGUCAGUACGUGGGGGCGAAGCUCCACGGAACAAAAGGGAAACAGCCCAGACCUCCAGCUAAGGCCCUGAAAUCUCAACUCAGUGGGAAAGGUGGUGAGGCGGCGCAGACAACCAGGAGGUUGGCUUAGAAGCAGCCACCCUUCAAAGAAAGCGUAACAGCUCACUGGUCAAGCUGCCUUGCGCCGAAAAUGUAACGGGGCUUAAGUUGAGUGCCGAAGCUGAGGAUGUAUGCCGUUUACGGCAUGCGUGGUAGGGGAGCGUUCCCUGCUGCGGUGAAGCCGGACCCGUGAGGGCCGGUGGAGCGCAGGGAAGUGAGAAUGCUGGCAUAAGUAGCAAAACGGAAAGUGAGAACCUUUCCCACCGUAAACCCAAGGUUUCCUGGGCAACGCAAAUCGACCCAGGGUUAGGCGGUCCUAAGGUGAGUCCUCGCGCAUAGCGUGGGGGGUAGCCGAUGGAAUACAGGUGAAUAUUCCUGUCCUCCCGAUCGUGCUCCCGUCGCUGACGCAGUUCGAUAGUUCUCGGGCGUUUUGGCUAUACGUCUGUCUUGACCUCCGGUCAGGACGCAGGUGCGGCCGCAAGGCCAAGCCGAUGAGAGCGAGUGAGCUGCCCAGAAAAGGCGACGGUUAUGAGCGGUUGGGAACCGUACCGGAAACCGACACAGGUGGGUGGGCACGAGUGUGCCAAGGUGUACGGGAGAACCCUCGUGAAGGAACUCGGCAAUACAAUGGCCGUAACUUCGGGAUAAGGCCUGCCCGUAGCAAUACGGGCCGCAGCAAGCGACGUCAAGCGACUGUUUACCAAAAACACAGGUCCCUGCAAAGCCGAAAGGCGAAGUAUAGGGGCUGAUGCCUGGCCAGUGUCAGAACGUUAAAGAGAGAGGUGAAACGUGACCGCAAGGUUACAUGUAGCCUUGAACUGAAGCGCUGAUGAACGCCGGCGAUAACCAUAAUCGUCCUAAGGUGGAAUACUCGUUGCCUUAGUGGGGUGGAAGACCCCCUCCGAACUCCGUAUGCCGCGGAGAGGUAGGAAGAAAAUCUGGCUAUAUGCUGGAACAUCCGCGCAUGUCAUCGUACCUCCUCGGAGGUGAGAAUCGGUGACCGAUGCGGACAAUCAGCAGGGAAGUCCAUGGGGACCCCUCAGAGACUCCACGCCGGAUCUCGGUGGCAGCAUCGAGAAAGAUAGAGUCCGACCUGCAGGGCGACCUGCAGAGUGCGACAGAAAUGUUCGCACCGUACCUACGCAAGUAGGUGCAGCAACAAUGUGAGCGUAAUCCCCUGCCGGGUGAGUUCCGGCCCGCACGAAUGGCAUAACGACUUGACGACUGUCUCCACGAGGGACCCGGCGAAAUUGCAAGGGGCGUGAAGAUGCGCUCUUACCCGUGGCUGGACGAAAAGACCCCGUGAAGCUUUACUGUAGCUUGCUCUUGGGUACAUGCUUCGUAUGUUCAGCGUAGGUGGGAGGGCCGCCGCAAGGCGGUCCAACAAUGAGACACCACCCUUGCGCUGUGUGUAUCCUAAUUUCUGGCAGUUAUCCUGCUGGGGAGACAGGAGCUGGUAGGCAGUUUGACUGGGGCGGUUGCCUCCCAAAAGGUAACGGAGGCGUUCACAAAGGUCGGCUUAGCGCGGAUGGAAAUCGCGCUGGACCUGCAAGCGGAAAAGCCGGCUUUACUGCAAGGCCGACACGCCGAGCAGUCGCGAAAGCGGGAGCUAGUGAUCCGACCGUUCGAUGUAGGACGGCGGAAGCUCAUCGGAUAAAAGCUACUCCGGGGAUAACAGGCUGAUCUCGCCCGAGCGUCCACAGCGACGGCGAGGUUUGGCACCUCAACACAUCGGGGUGCUGCAGCAGUGAUGCUGCACAAAAAAUUGGCUCAUAACGGUGGAUCUCCAUGGCGCCCAGUGGUAUCAUAUCGGCGCAUGGACAAUACCGUGGGAAGUCUCACACAGUUACAGGAGCAGGUACUCAUCGGAAGUAUUCUCGGCGACGGAGCGCUUCGGCGACAAACCGUUGGCCGAAAUGCGUUGCUCGAAGUGAAUCAUGCGGCGAAGUAUCGCGCAUACGUCGAUUGGAAAUUUGAGGUGUUCCGCACUCUGGUUCGGACUCCUCCGAUGGAACGUUCGACGAAUGGCGUGCGACGUGCGUACCGAUUCACAACGCGGAGCCUACCCGUGCUGACGCAAUGGCACGAGCGGUUCUAUUUCGGUGAUCAUGGAAAGCAGAUUCGAGGGACGAUGCCUCUCGAUCUGCAGGCGAUCGCAGUGUGGUUCAUGGAUGAUGGCGCGAAGAGUCGGAAUGGCCUCUACCUCAAUACGCAGCAAUUUGAUCGCGUAUCGCAGGAGUGGCUUCGACGAUCGUUGCUGCAUCAAUGGAACAUUGACACAUCGAUCCAUCGUGAUAAGCAGUACCUGCGGUUAUGGAUACGCGUUCCCAGCGCGCGGAGGAUGCGUUCGCUCCUCCGGUCAUACGUACUACCCAUAUUUUCCUAUAAACUGGCGUGGUGACCCCGUAGAGACUGAGUUGAUGGGGAAUACAUCAACGAGAUGCGUGCGGUUGUUCUGGAAUAUUAUGCACGCAUAACACGCCAACCCCUCCUGGGUGAGGGUGAAGGUAUAGUCCACAAUACAAACAAGUUUGUUUGUAUGUACUAGCGAUGUCGGCUCAUCGCAUCCUGGGGCUGAAGAAGGUCCCAAGGGUUAGGCUGUUCGCCUAUUAAAGCGGUACGUGAGCUGGGUUCAGAACGUCGUGAGACAGUUCGGUCUCCUAUCCACCACGGGCGUUUGAGGCUUGAGAGGACUGUUCCCUAGUACGAGAGGACCGGGAACAAUCGACCUCUGGUGUACCAGUUGUUCUGCCAAGAGCACUGCUGGGUAGCUAUCGUCGAAUGCGGAUAAACGCUGAAAGCAUCUAAGCGUGAAGCCGCCCUCAAGAUAAGGCCUCGUUGAGCCCCCCGGGAGAUGACCGGGUUGACCGGCGGCAGGUGUACGGCGGGUAACCGCUUUAGCCGAGCCGUACGGAUCGGGCGAAGUC
rnacentral:rRNA from 1 species